rnacentral:rRNA from 1 species
GUUGACCUCGGAUCAGGUAGGAGCACCCGCUGAACUUAA